GGGGCCGAUCAGGAUUCGACGCCGGUGAUGAAACUUUAGGUGCAUGCCGAGUUGGUAACAGAACUCGUAAAUCCACUGUUGCAACUUUUAUAGUUGCCAAUGACAAAUACUACGGCCGGGAAUUCGCAAUCGCCGCUUAAUUGCGACGACUAGAACCCGAGCUUCUGGCUACUUCGGUACCAGCAGUCGCUAGGGGAUGCCUGUAAACCCGAAACGUCUGUCAGAUAGAACAGGAUCGCCGCCUAGUACGUCGUGGACGACGCGGCUAAAACUUACACGACUCGCCCAACGCACCCUGCCCCUCGGGCGGCCGCGGGUUAACUUAGUAGAACGGGCUAAGCAUGUAGUACCGACAGCGGAGUACUGGCGGACGGGGGUUCAAAUCCCCCCGGCUCCACCA
rnacentral:tmRNA from 1 species